CUUCAGAUGUGAGGUCUCGACCAGAUAAAAAUAUCAAAAGAUUAAAAAAAUCCUUAUGUGUGUACCAGGCUUUGGCUUAACUCCUUACAGACAUAAUUAUGCUCCGCCCACACUUAACUGCUGCAGUUUGUGGAGUGGCUCGGCGCCAUUACCUGCUUGAAGUUCUUCGUUACAUGUACAUGCAGCUGAAACGUUAUUGAGAAAUUUUGCCUGCCACCAGAAGCAAAUGUUACAUACAAAGAUGCAACAGGCACAGAAAUAGAUGAGGAAAUAUUCAGCGACCUUGUUGGACAAGGCAACGUGGUGCUGACUGCUUUCCCGAACGAUGAGUUUUCUGAGACCUCGUUCUCUGCAUCUGAUACAUCUGACUCGAGCUUCAGUUCUGGUGCAUCAACAAUAAUCCUUGAUGAUCUCCCUAAUAAAAAACAAAGAACUCAAGAUACAGCUAAUGCUGUGGCUGCCAAACAGUUGGUGGAAAUGUCCUUAAAACCAAGUCCGGUGGUGAAGAAGUUCUCCGGGAGUACGAAGAAACAGAAACUCUGACUGAUGCCACACGAAGACAAAUGGUUAACAUAUUGGUGGCUCACAUGACUGAUGCACAUGGACAUCACCCUUCUAAAACUAUCAGGGAGCAAUACGCUCUUGGAAUAGUGAUGCUGUUUACCUCGCUCAAGGAUCCAUAUUCCCAAAAAGGCUAUGAACAUUUCUAUGAUGCUGCAAACAACACAGGAUACAUUGCUUGGCGUUUGAAAACGGUCCAAAGAAAGAUUCAUCGUGGCUCCACUGCACCACCAAGUAGUCCCGCGGAUGGUUCUCCUGGAGGCCCAAAAUGCCAGAGGAUUACAAAUGUUGAAGGACAGCUUGAUAGUGAUGCUUGUCAAGAGGCCAUGUCUUUGCUCAACCAUACCACAGACAAGUCUCUGAUUUUCCAGAUGAUGAGAAAGACCUUUCAGCAUCAUCAGAAACUUGUUAAUGAUCCAGGCAGAACUGUUGAUAUCCUUUCUAUCUUCUAAGAUUCUUGGAAACAA